rnacentral:tRNA from 2 species
GGGGAUGUAGCUCAGCUGGGAGAGCGCCUGGUUUGCAACCAGGAGGUCGGCGGUUCGAGCCCGCUCAUCUCCACCA